UUAAAGUUAUGGUUUUUUGAAAAGGAAUU
rnacentral:piRNA from 1 species